rnacentral:lncRNA from 1 species
AUAAUGUGUGUUUUAUUUACAGGGCAUGAAGAGCCUGUUAACCCAAAGGUUUUUGAGAUUGUAGGAAAAACCUUGGGGUUGAUUUUCCUUUUCAGCCUGAUCGUAUUCUUUGCAUGGAGGAGGAGAACAUCUAGACUCCCCAGUGGGUUUGACAUGACAGAUCGUUCACAGGGACUGGUGGGAAUGAACUCCCCGGUUGGGACAGUGUGCUCUAACCAGGCUAUGGUCGGUAGAGGGAACCAGUAACCACCAUUUAACAACCUCGAUGGUCUUUAAGCACAAGUCAAUCAAAGAGGUGCAUGUUAAUUAUUUUUCCAAUGGGUAUUAAGUGUUUUUAUGUACAAUAUUGUCAUUGUGUAUUAGUUUCUAAUGGUACUUUUGUUACAUUUAUAAUUGUGUGCUCUUUGAUUUAUCUGCAUAUUUGUAGAAUUUUUUUAUCUCAUUAAAAUGGUUUAAAUUGAGAUUUUGUGUCUGUUCUACACUGUCACGACCUGGUCUUAGUAUUUUGUGUUUAUAUAUUUUUUUGGUCAGGCCAGGGUGUGACAUGGGUUUAUUUUGUGUUGUGUUUUUUUAUUGGGGUUUUAGUAGGUAUUGGGAUUGUGGCUAAGUAGGGUUGUCUAGUAAAGUCUAUGGCUGCCUGAGGCGGUUCUCAAUCAGAGUCAGGUGAUUAUCGUUGUCUCUGAUUGGGAACCAUAUUUAGGUAGCCCGGGUUUCACUGUGUAUUGGUGGGUGAUUGUUCCUGUCUCUGUGUUAGUUUGCACCAGAUAGGCUCAGUCACUUUGGAUUUUCUUUUUUCAUUGUUUUGGAAGAGAAGAGAACGA